rnacentral:rRNA from 1 species
ACCUACGGGGCGCAGCAGUGGGGAAUAUUGGGCAAUGGGCGCAAGCCUGACCCAGCAACGCCGCGUGAAGGAAGGAGGUCUUCGGAUUGUAAACUUUUGUCUUAUGGGACGAUAAUGACGGUACCAUAGGAGGAAGCCCCGGCUAACUACGUGCCAGCAGCCGCGGUAAUACGUAGGGGGCAAGCGUUAUCCGGAUUUACUGGGUGUAAAGGGGGCGCAGACGGCGAUGCAAGCCAGGAGUGAAAGCCCGGGGCCCAACCCCGGGACUGCUCUUGGAACUGCGUGGCUAGAGUGCAGGAGGGGCG